rnacentral:rRNA from 1 species
GACGAACGCUGGCGGCGUGCCUAAUACAUGCAAGUAGAACGCAGUUGCGAACGGGUGAGUAACGCGUAGGUAACUGCCUCAUAGCGGGGGAUAACUAUUGGAAACGAUAGCUAAUACCGCAUACUGUUAGAUGGACCUGCGUUGUAUUAGCUAGUUGGUGAGGUAAAGGCUCACCAAGGUGACGAUACAUAGCCGAGCUGAGAGGGUGGUCGGCCAAACUGGGGCUGAGAAACGGCACAGACGCCUACGGGAGGAAGAAGUAGGGAAUCUGGGGGAAUGGACGGAAGUCUGACCGAGCAACGCCGCGUGAGUGAAGAAGGUUUUCGGAUCGAAAAGCUAUGUUGUUAGAGAAGCGGUAACUAAACAGAAAGGGACGGCUAACUACGUGCAAGCAACCGCGGUAAUAC